rnacentral:lncRNA from 1 species
CAAUUGGGGUUUCUCAAUUGUUAUGAUCUUCCGUCUUGGAAACAAGGCGUGUAUAUAAAAGGAAUUGUCGGUUUUGGGAUUUUUAUCACUUUUUCCCUUAAAAGUGAAUUGCAUCUCGGUUUGAUCCCGAGUUUCAUUUGGUUAAUACCUUAUGAAGUGGAUUUUUAUCAUUCUCAAUUGGGGUUUCUCAAUUGUUAUGAUCUUCCGUCUUGGAAACAAGGCGUGUAUAUAAAAGGAAUUGUCGGUUUUGGGAUUUUUAUCACUUUUUCCCUUAAAAGUGAACCCCCACCUUGGAAACAAGGUGUGUAUAUCAAAGGAAUGGACGGAUUCGAGAUUUUUAUCACUUUUUCCCUUAAAAGUGAACCCCCGCCUUGGAAACAAGGUGUGUAUUUCAAAGGAAUUGACGGAAUCGGGAUUUUUAUCACUUUUUCCCUUAAAAGUGAAAUUCCGUCUUGGAAACAAGAUGAGUUUAUUCAAGGAAUUGACGGAUUUGGGAUUUUUCUCACUUUUUCCCUUAAAAGUGAUUUUCCGUCUUGGAAACAAGGCGAGUAUAUUCAAGGAAUUGACGGAAACGGGAUUUUUAUCACUUUUUCCCUUAAAAGU